rnacentral:rRNA from 1 species
UACGGGGGGGGCAAGCGUUGUUCGGAAUUACUGGGCGUAAAGGGCUCGUAGGUGGCCAACUAAGUCAGACGUGAAAUCCCUCAGCUUAACUGGGGAACUGCGUCUGAUACUGGAUGGCUUGAGUUUUUGGGAGAGGGAUGCGGAAUUCCAGGUGUAGCGGUGAAAUGCGUAGAUAUCUGGAGGAACACCGGUGGCGAAGGCGGCAUCCUGGACCAACACUGACACUGAUGAGCGAAAGCCAGGGGGAGCAAACGGG